AGGCAUUCCUCCUUAGCCCUGAAGUAAACGGUGCUGUCAGCUCUCUUGGAGAACGUUGAGUCACUCUGUUCUCACUGGCUUGUCUGUCGCACGGAGAUACCAAUAGUGUGUUCGAGCAAAUCUUUUGGGACAGCUUACUGCAUUUGAAUGCGUCUGCUUCCGUGCUCGUCCUCGCUUGCCAUCUCUGCCAAGAUGCUAGGCAAAGGAGUCUGUGUCCUCCACCAGCAGCACUUACAGGACAGGCCCUUAAGUGUAGACAGAGAGGUGGACAGUAAGCAUCUGCCGGAAACGCAUCCCAGGUUUAUUGAGCGCCUCUGGUAGUCUCGGCAUUACUUACGGUCCAGUUUCUAUGUAAGUGAUUUAAUGAUGAGAAAACAAAUGACUCAAGGAAAAUCUAGCUUUCCUCCUUAGUGUAUUAUAAUGUUCUACUCGUAAAUUUUGUUUUGAGCUUACUUUUCUGAAAUGAACAGUACUAAGGAUAUUUUGUGUUCGGGUACAUUCAUUAAAUAAACACACGAAGCUGCUUGUUUUCUUCCUUCCCUGAGUUAGUAUAUCGCACAUGGGAUGUAAGAAGAGGUCCAGAAUUUGGGGAGUGGCUGGGGGCAGAGUGGUUUUGGCUGUAACCUGUACCAGUAGCGUCAUUCACCGUCUGCUGUAUGUUGCGCAGCCUCCACACCUUGGUUCCAGGUACUUCACAAACCCUGUGAUGCAGAGGUCUGUCUUCCUAGUGAUUGAAGGCGUUAAAGUUCCUCGUAAUUUUCGUUUGUUGGAAGAACUUGAAGAAGGACAGAAAGGAGUAGGCGACGGUACGGUCAGCUGGGGCCUGGAAGAUGAUGAAGACAUGACACUCACAAGGUGGACAGGCAUGAUCAUUGGGCCACCACGGACAAAUUAUGAGAACAGAAUAUAUAGCUUGAAAGUAGAAUGUGGACCUAAAUACCCAGAAGCUCCUCCAUCAGUUAGAUUUGUAACCAAAAUUAAUAUGAAUGGAAUAAAUAAUUCCAGUGGAAUGGUAACAGGAAGAAAAUUCAGCAGUCUUUUCUUGUUAAGGCACCACCACUUAAGCACGCACCUGGAGUCCUCACUGGAGCUCAGGUUUGCAGGUGAGAGCACAGCAAGAAGUGUCGGCUGGCUGUGCAGGCAGGUGUGUUUCUGA
rnacentral:lncRNA from 1 species